ACUGAAUAGAUACCCAGGUAGUCCACGCCCUAAACGAUGUCUACUAGUUGUCGGGUUUUAAUUAACUUGGUAAACGCAGCUAAACGCGUGAAAGUAGACCGCCUGGGGAGUACGGUCGCAAGAUUAAAACUCAAAGGAAUUGACGGGGACCCGCACAAGCGGUGGAUGAUGUGGAUUAAUUCGAUGCAACGCGAAAAACCUUACCUACCCUUGACAUGUACGGAAGCCACGAGAGAUCGAGGUGUGCUCGAAAGAGAACCGUAACACAGGUGCUGCAUGGCUGUCGUCAGCUCGUGUCGUGAGAUGUUGGGUUAAGUCCCGCAACGAGCGCAACCCUUGUCAUUAGUUGUUACGAAAGGGCACUCUAAUGAGACUGCCGGUGACAAACCGGAGGAAGGUGGGGAUGACGUCAAGUCCUCAUGGCCCUUAUGGGUAGGGCUUCACACGUCAUACAAUGGUACAUACAGAGGGCCGCCAACCCGCGAGGGGGAGCUAAUCCCAGAAAGUGUAUCGUAGUCCGGAUUGUAGUCUGCAACUCGACUACAUGAA
rnacentral:rRNA from 1 species